GGCGGGGCCCGGUUGCCAUGGCAGUGACGUCAAAGGGCGGCGGGGAGCGGGAGCGGAGGCCCGGCAGAGCCUGCCCGGUGCUGGAGGAGGAUGCUGCGGCCGCGCAGAGCCAGGCCCCGGGGCGCGCUUCUUGCUAGAAAACCCGGGAGCGAGGCCGCUGUCAGCGUGUGGGGCUUGGUGCCACGGGCAGCCCGCCGUGUCCCCGCGCUCAGGGGAUGAUUUAGAGGGGCAGGAGUGGUUCGGUAAUGGGAAGCAGCAGUCGUGCUAAGGCGAAACCAGAUUGAGUACAAGAUGGAGAUGAUCCUCCAAAGAUGCCUUUCACCAAAAAAAAAAAAGCGCUCAGUUUCUGCAGACAACCUCAUCGUGUUGGACCAGAGAUACUUCUUACCUUGAAAGAAAAGACAGACUAUGGGCGCAGAUUGGGAAUUGGAAGACUCUCAAGAUAAAACAGAAUUGUCAUGUGGAGGUACCUGUAGCCUAUGUGAAGUGAUUUGUUUUAAUAAUUUCUAGUAAAGCAUCUCCAAGACUACGCCGGAUAAAAUGAUAUAAUUUUGUUGUAGCUCCUUCUGAGGAAUCAGGCAAAAAUUCCUUUUCUGUUAGAGGGACCAAAGAGGCACCCUUUUCCCUCAAAGGGGGACCCUUUUUCUGUUCUUGAUUGCAGGUAAACCUACUAUUGGGGUUUUUAUGAGGGCAAUUCAUUGUAAGUUCUUAAUAACAGAUGUAUUUUUAUUUUUUUUAAUUCUAAAGCAAAAUGAUCUUGGAUUAGCCACUUCCUGCCCCCUGAGGUGGCUGCAAAGAUGACUGAGUACUGCAGAACUUCCUAGGUUACCUAAAAUAAAGACUUAAUUUGACUGGGUAACUUCGUGGGUAUGUUACUGUACCCAGUAGAGAGACAAGGUGUUUUAUAAAUACAUGAUUUCUUCACACUGAACUGUGUUUUCAGCCAGAGGGAAGAAGAGGCUUGGGGGGGAGGGUGUGUGUGUGUCUAACUGCUGCCUUCAAUUGUGUAGUGGAUCACAGAGAAGAAGCCAGGUAAUUCUUGAAGGACAGCAAAAGGAUGAGACACAAUGGACACAAGUUGCAGCAGGAAAUUUCAAUGAAAUGUGACAUUGCAGUAACCUUUAUAACUUCCUUAAGAAGCAAAUGUUAAAGGAGAGCAGUGGAAGAAAUGGUUCAUUGCAACUUAAUGCUCAGCAGCCUAAUUAGCCAAAUACCAUGUGCCUACCUCUGCAUGAAAUAACCCAUUUCUUUCCAAGGUCACCAACUGCUUUGUACAGUUAGACAGUGGCAGUGAUGUAUCGUAGUCUGUUGCUGUAAACAUCCCCGACUGGAAGCUGUAGCAGCUCUAGCUUUCAGUCAGAUGUUUGCUGCACCUGGCUACUCUUGGGCAACGUCCGACAGAAAAGGUGCCGUAACGACACGUGCGUAGAUAUGUAGCUAUUAGUUUCUGUAGACACAGCCGAGCUGCCUUCAAGCAAGUUAACCUGGUUGUUGGUAAUAGUGCUGCUAUGAUCCAUUGAAAUCUUAUCUGUUAUAAAUGGGAGAUGCAAAGUUACUGCACUUGUGUCACUCAGACGUGAGCCUGCUGCGUUGUGGUGCGAGCUACGGAAUUACGCCUCACUGGAACGUAACAGCAAGGGGGGCUUAAUUUCAUGUACAGCUAUCUGUAAACCAGACUUUCAUAAGUUGUCUGUCUUAACAGCUUCUGUUACUUAUGACUCUUAGGAAAAAAUAAUAUGUUGUCAAGUACUUAGCAGGCAGUUCAUCGGAUGUGCCUUGCUGCUUCUUGUUCUUUCUGAAAUUCCAUGUUCUGGGUCUCCUAUGAGUGGGUGGUGCUCUUAUUGUUUGUAAGCUGGAUGUAACCCAAGGCCAAAAUAAAGGUUAAAAAAAAUAACACAGGAUGUAUUUUUGUAGUAACAAUGCAUAAAAUAUAUACUUGUUUGUGGUAUGGUCAUCUUGGUUUGUGCUACCCUCACCAUGGCGUUUGUGCUACCCUCACCAUGGCAUUUACAAAGGAUUAUUCUUUACACAAAAAACAGAUUUUGAAAGUACUUCAAAAUUAACUCUUCACUAGCUGUUGACUUAAAGCAAUCAUUUCAACAAGAACAGCUUCAGCACUCUUCACCGUCCUCUCCACUAGGAAGUGAGACCUGCAAAUGCUGUUUCCUAGAUUUUGUCUGGGAUUUCUUUUCUCCUUUUGUUUCUCUUUAGUCCUUUACUUGUAACAGAUGGGGAGGGGAAUUGCAUGUACAAGUAAACUCUGCACUUUAGGCAGAAAGUAUUCUUGGUCUGCUUUAGCUCCACAUUCCUCCCUCUCUGAAGAAUAUUAACUUUAUAUUCCUUGACACAUGAAAGACAAACUUCAUUUAGUUAUUUGAUGGUAUUAGUCUAGUGGUUAUAGUAAUACCUUGCUAUUGUUUAAUUUCAGCGUAGGGAUUCUGUAGAAGAUCACAUCCAAAGAUACAAAUACUUAAAAUAAAUAAAAUAAGGUUUUCUUAGUCCUGAAGAAGCUAGACAGCAAGCAUUGGAAGGGUAAUGAUUCUGAAGCAGGUAUUGAAUGGCCACUUGUGAACCAAGGACAGCCAUUCUUCUGUGGUGGUCCCAUGACCAUAAAUAAAUAUUAAGCGUCUGUUACCUGGGUCAUCUGUCCAGUAACAGUACCCUGUGGUUAGAGAAGGAAGGUUCUGAACUUGUAUAUCGAUAGCACUGCUACGAAGACUUCUUUUCAAAGUAAUGCGCACACAACAGAAUCUCAGUUAAAAUCUUUUUUUAAAUAUGAUGUUUGGUUUGUGUACUUAUUAAAAAAAAAAAAAUACUUUGAAGCAGGAUCUACAAAUCUUGGUUUCCUUUUUUAAGGAAAAACACAAGUGCUGAUAGUCAUUUUCCAAGCUUUCUUUACUGUAAACAUUUAGCAUUUCCUAGCUCUGUAUAGUAUUUGGACUUAAAAGCAAUGAAGUGUUGCCUGUUAACAUUCUUGACUGAAUGAUCAAAGUAAAUGUUAUCUCUUAGUUAAUCUAAUAGUCAUUUUUGUUAGUGCUCUCUUAGUCUUUCCACAUGCCAGAUAAGUGUAGAGGAAAAACACGCUGUUAGUUCACAUGCGGUUUAUCAGUCCAGUCUUGCGGAACUUUAUUUAUGUAAUAGUAUUAAUACAUAUACUCAAACACAGCUAUCAUGUCUUCACAUGAAAGCAAACUGAAGUGGUGUGCGACUGUAGGAAAUAAAUAAAAAACCCACACUGAGUUUCUGUUUGGGGUUUUCUUGCUAAGUGUUUGAAAUACAAGGAUCUCUUGUUUUCUGUACGUGAAAUACAAACUACUGAACGUCUUAACAUGUCUCAAACAUGGCUGUUGUUUGCGAAUGAAGAAAGUGGAGUUUUUUUAAAAGCUGUUGGCCAAAUGCAUUUUUAUGCAGUGAUACAAGGUGGACUUGUAGUACUGGCACUGCUGGGAAGGGGCUGCUGGGUCAAUGGAUUUUAGGGAUGGAAGAGGCAGGCUUGAUGUCAGCCUAGUCAUCAGCAAAGCAAAUUACUGCAUCUUGUUAAUAUGAAUCUUGUUAAUGUGAAGGCUGUAACUAUGUCUUAUGUUAGAAGAAGACAUAAAUAAGUUUCUAAUAUUUUACAGUCCACUAAUCUGAGAGUGAAAGCAGAUAUCUAAAGGAAGAAAAGGAGGUUGGUGCUCCAGAAGCCAGUGGUGAAAUUGUGAAAGUGCAGCUACUAAUUCCAGGUGACUGUCAUAUACAGUGCAGGUGCAAUGUUUUGGAAAUGAACAUGCAGACGUUUGGAAAUGGAAGAAGCUAGGGUGAAUACCGUGGCCCUUGCUUGCUGAACAAGUAGAAUGCCUGUGAAGCUGAGUGUUUGGGGUCUGGAUUAGUUGCCUGUGGUUUUCUUCUAGGUGUUUUCUCUGACCACUUAAAAGCAAUACGUCAAAGUUCUCAGUAACUUUAGACUGCACAAAGCACUCUCCCCGUGCUGUGAACUCACAGAUGCAUUCAGUAGAAAUGCUUGAUCUCUGUUGUUGUUGUUGUUUGUUGUUUUUUUUUCAUGUAGUGAACCAGCUGUUAAUGUUUGGAGGAGGCCUUCCCCCAGCCUUUGUGUAUGAAAUGAUCUGCAUCUGUGGUUCACUCUUCCCAGUAAAUCUGUAAAACACCUGCUCAGCAAAGAGCUUUGAGAAGGCUGAGACUUGGCCUCUUGGUUGAUUGAGUUUGUAGAAGUAUUCUUUUUUCCUGGAGUGGUAAUAUUUUGUUUGUUCAAGGCUGUGAAUGCUAAAUUAGACACACAUUUAAAAUAAGAUGUUGAAGCUUAAGUAAGUGUCGUGUUCCCUUGCUGUUAAAAUGACUCAUUUCUGAGUAACUAAGUCUGUGUGGAGGAAAAUAAGAAUUAAGAAGAUUGAAAUAACAAGAAGAGUACCUUGAAAAAGUUUUGGAAUGGGAAUUACUUUAAGAAAAUGCAACACAAUUAGGAAGACAUUCAAAUGUAGCAACAAAACUGUAAAAUUUAGCACAUAAAGGAAGCUAUGGAUGUUUUUAGUACAAUACUACAGGAGUUGAAUUAUUGCAUAAACCAUUUGAGAUGGACAUCUCUGAGGACUGUUACCCAAUUUGUACUACCCUGUUGAUGUUCCAUGUAUAUUUUGGUGACGAGUAUAAAUUUUGAAAAUGAUUUGAAUUUGAGUUUUCUGGAAGGUGCCUACUUUGAGCAUCAGGAGUCUUGGCAGGUAAGUGCAACAGAACGCUGAUUGCCGUGGUCUGUGAGAAACUCUUUUUCUUCCUACUUUUUUUCUGAUACCUCUACAGUAUUAGGGACUGUGCAUGUAUAUUCCUGUUCUGAUAUUUACAAGGGUAAAUGUUAAAAAAAUUAAGUGUUCCAACUUUAUUACAUCAGUAAAGCUUGGUAAUUUGCAUGCGCCUUAUGAAUUGCGUAAGUUGUAGCUCACACAAUGUAUUGCAGUAUGUCUGUGCCGAUUCAUUUUUGGAUAUCUUGAAAGCCAAUGCUGUAUUUAUAUUGUUAAGCUAACUUUUAGUUCCUGUAAACAUCCUACACUCAGCUAUAACAAGUGGUGGGGCUGGGGGGUGGAUGUUUACUUCAACUGACUUGGAAAGGCAGCUUUCCUGAAUGAUCAAGUGACAUAUUGGCAAGAACGGAAUACUAUUUUCCAGUAGUAUUCAAAUAAGUUUAUUGUACUGUAAAUACUCUUCUUUUGUGGAAGCAAUGUAUUCCUAUAGAUGUCUUAAUAGUCAAUAUAAACCUUAAUUUGAGCAUGUAAAUACAUGUUUAUUGUAAGUCAGUCUUUAACUGCUAAAACGUGUAUCUUUUUUCUGAUUGCGAAUAAACUGUGCGCCUA